rnacentral:rRNA from 1 species
AGAGUUUGAUCCUGGCUCAGGAUGAACGCUAGCGGCAGGCUUAAUACAUGCAAGUCGUGGGGCAGCGGGGGUAGCAAUACCCGCCGGCGACCGGCAAACGGGUGCGGAACACGUACGCAACCUUCCUUUAACUGGAGAAUAGCCCCUCGAAAGAGGGAUUAAUACUCCGUAACAUAUUGAUAAGGCAUCUUAUUAAUAUUAUAGCUCCGGCGGUUAAAGAUGGGCGUGCGCCUGAUUAGAUAGUUGGCGGGGUAACGGCCCACCAAGUCUGCGAUCAGUAACUGGUGUGAGAACACGACCAGUCACACGGGCACUGAGACACGGGCCCGACUCCUACGGGAGGCAGCAGUAAGGAAUAUUGGUCAAUGGACGCAAGUCUGAACCAGCCAUGCCGCGUGGAGGAUUAAGGCCCUCUGGGUUGUAAACUCCUUUUAUCUGGGAAGAAAUGCAUUUUUUCUAAAGUGCUUGACGGUACCAGAGGAAUAAGCACCGGCUAACUCCGUGCCAGCAGCCGCGGUAAUACGGAGGGUGCAAGCGUUAUCCGGAUUCACUGGGUUUAAAGGGUGCGUAGGCGGGCAGGUAAGUCCGUGGUGAAAUCUCUGAGCUUAACUCAGAAACUGCCAUGGAUACUAUUUGUCUUGAAUAUUGUGGAGGUAAGCGGAAUAUGUCAUGUAGCGGUGAAAUGCUUAGAUAUGACAUAGAACACCAAUUGCGAAGGCAGCUUACUACACAGUUAUUGACGCUGAGGCACGAAAGCGUGGGGAUCAAACAGGAUUAGAUACCCUAGUAGUCC